rnacentral:rRNA from 1 species
UACGUAGGGUGCGAGCGUUGUCCGGAAUUAUUGGGCGUAAAGGGCUCGUAGGCGGUCUGUCGCGUUGUUCGUGAAAACUCACAACUCAAUUGUGGGCGUGCGGGCGAUACGGGCAGACUGGAGUACUGCAGGGGAGACUGGAAUUCCUGGUGUAGCGGUGGAAUGCGCAGAUAUCAGGAGGAACACCGGUGGCGAAGGCGGGUCUCUGGGCAGUAACUGACGCUGAGGAGCGAAAGCGUGGGGAGCGAGCAGG